rnacentral:rRNA from 1 species
GACGAACGCUGGCGGCGUGCUUAACACAUGCAAGUCGAACGGUGAAGCGCCUUCCUUUUUGGUGGGUGUGGAUGAGUGGCGAACGGGUGAGUAACACGUGAGUAACCUGCCCCCUUCUUCUGGAUAACCGCAUGAAAGUGUGGCUAAUACGGGAUAUUCUGGGUCUGUUGCAUGAUGGGUCUGGGAAAGAUAUUGUUUCGGUGGGGGAUGGGGUCGCGGCCUAUCAGCUUGUUGGUGGGGUGAUGGCCUACCAAGGCGGUGACGAGUAGCCGGCCUGAGAGGGUGGACGGCCACACAAGGGCUGAGACACGGCGCAGACUCCGACGGGAGGCAGCAGGGGGGAAUAUUGCACGAUGGGCGGAAGCAUGAUGCAGCGACGCCGCGUGAGGGAUGGAGGCCUUCGGGUUGUGAACCUCUUUCGCCAGUGAAGCAGGGUUGCCUCGUUUGUGGGUGGGUUGACGGUAGCUGGAUAAGAAGCGCCGGCUAACUACGUG